rnacentral:rRNA from 1 species
GAUGAACGCUGGCGGCGUGCCUAAUACAUGCAAGUCGAGCGAACGGACGAGAAGCUUGCUUCUCUGAUGUAGCGGCGGACGGGUGAGUAACACGUGGAUAACCUACCUAUAAGACUGGGAUAACUUCGGGAAACCGGAGCUAAUACCGGAUGAUAUUUUGAACCGCAUGGUUCCAAAGUGAAAGACGGUCUUGCUGUCACUUAUAGAUGGAUCCGCGCUGCAUUAGCUAGUUGGUAAGGUAACGGCUUACCAAGGCAACGAUGCAUAGCCGACCUGAGAGGGUGAUCGGACACACUGGAACUGAGACACGGUCCAGACUCCUACGGGAGGCAGCAGUAGGGAAUCUUCCGCAAUGGGCGAAAGCCUGACGGAGCAACGCCGCGUGAGUGAUGAAGGUCUUCGGAUCGUAAAACUCUGUUAUUAGGGAAGAACAUAUGUGUAAGUAACUGUGCACAUCUUGACGGUACCUAAUCAGAAAGCCACGGCUAACUACGUG